GCAUUCGUGAUUCGGUGGUAGAAUUCUUGCCUUUCAUGCAGGGGAUCUGGGUUUGAUUCCUGGCCAAUGUA
rnacentral:tRNA from 1 species